UAGGGAAUCUUCGGCAAUGGGGGGAACCCUGACCGAGCAACGCCGCGUGAGUGAAGAAGGUUUUCGGAUCGUAAAGCUCUGUUGUUAAGGAAGAACGAGUGUGAGAAUGGAAAGUUCAUACUGUGACGGUACUUAACCAGAAAGGGACGGCUAACUACGUGCCAGCAGCCGCGGUAAUACGUAGGUGGCAAGCGUUGUCCGGAUUUAUUGGGCGUAAAGCGAGCGCAGGCGGUCAAUUAAGUCUGAUGUGAAAGCCCCCGGCUCAACCGGGGAGGGUCAUUGGAAACUGGUUGACUUGAGUGCAGAAGAGGAGAGUGGAAUUCCAUGUGUAACGGUGAAAUGCGUAGAUAUAUGGAGGAACACCGGUGGCGAAAGCGGCUCUCUGGUCUGUAACUGACGCUGAGGCUCGAAAGCGUGGGGAGCGAACAGG
rnacentral:rRNA from 1 species